CCUACGGGGGGCAGCAGUGGGGAAUCUUGCGCAAUGGGCGGAAGCCUGACGCAGCAACGCCGCGUGCGGGAAGAAGGCCUUAGGGUCGUAAACCGCUUUCAGGGGGGACGAAGCUUCCGGGGUGAAUAGCCUACGGGGUGACGGUACUCCCAGAAGAAGGUCCGGCUAACUACGUGCCAGCAGCCGCGGUAAUACGUAGGGACCGAGCGUUGUCCGGAAUCAUUGGGCGUAAAGAGCGUGUAGGCGGCCUGGUAGGUCUCGUGUGAAAUCCCGCGGCUCA
rnacentral:rRNA from 1 species